AAAUCAUACAGGAUCAUUUAGUUAUGGGGGUGCAAAUUUGACCUUUGACAUCUGAACACAUACACUUGGUCUGGCUGCUUUCAAAGGCCAAGGGUGCGUCUCAAUCAGCCCCAUGGUUCAGUAGUCAGGACACUGAUCAGGGAGUCAGCUCAUUGACUGAAGCAGGUUUUAACACACGCCAUUUAAACUGUUCUCCAGAAGAGGGCUGAAUGGGAGUCAAUGGAAUGCUAACAGCAGGUGAUGGUCAACCAGCUCACUGGGAGUCACUCAACUUUGACCUCACUUUCUGACCUCAUCGGUUAGCACUUCCUAUACCUCAGUGUGUAUACAUAUAUUUUUGUUUUCCUUUGUGACGAUAUAUGAUUUUAGUGCAUGAAAUAAAAACGUAA
ensembl:lncRNA